GAUGAACGCUAGCGGCAGGCUUAACACAUGCAAGUCGAGGGGCAGCGAGAGAUGUGCUUGCACAUUUUGUCGGCGACCGGCGCACGGGUGCGUAACGCGUAUGCAACCUACCCAUAACAGGGGGAUAACACUGAGAAAUUGGUACUAAUACCCCGUAAUAUUACUGAAGGCAUCUUUGGUAGUUGAAAGUUCCGGCGGUUAUGGAUGGGCAUGCGUUGUAUUAGCUAGUUGGUGGGGUAACGGCUCACCAAGGCGACGAUACAUAGGGGGACUGAGAGGUUAACCCCCACAUUGGUACUGAGACACGGCCCAAACUCCUACGGGAGGCAGCAGUGGGGAAUAUUGCACAAUGGGGGGAAACCCGUGAUGCAGCGACGCCGCGUGAGCGAAGAAGUAUUUCGGUAUGUAAAGCUCUAUCAGCAGGGAAGAAAAUGACGGUACCUGACUAAGAAGCCCCGGCUAACUACGUG
rnacentral:rRNA from 1 species